rnacentral:rRNA from 1 species
GACGAACGCUGGCGGCGUGCUUAACACAUGCAAGUCGAGCGCUGAAGCUUCUUUGGGGUGGAUGAGCGGCGAACGGGUGAGUAACACGUGGGUGACCUGCCCUCAGCUCUGGGAUAAGCCUGGGAAGCUGGGUCUAAUACCGGAUAUGACCUUCUCUCGCAUGGGGGUUGGUGAAAGUCUGUGUUGUGAGACAUGGGCGGUUGGGAUGGGCCCGCGGCCUAAUCAGCUUGUUGGUGGGUGAUGGCCUACCAAGGCGG